GUUAUACAAUAAAUGUUAAUUAAUAUUAUUGGUUUAGGAAGAGAUAUUUUGUAUUAUUUGAAUUUAAUGUAUUUAUUUUUAGGUGAAAUUUAAAUGAUUUUUAAGUCUUAUUUUUUAUCUUUGAAUUACAUAAUAUAAACUAGGAUUAGAUACCCUAUUAUAAUGUAUUUGAAUAUAUAGCCUGGGUAUUAUUAGCUAUGUUCUUUAAACCCAAAGAAUUUGGCGGUGUUUUAAUCUGUUCAGAGGAAUUUGCCCUAUAAUCGAUAGUCCUCGUUUUAUCUUACUUAGGUUUGUUUAAUCAGUAUGUAUACCGCCGUUAUAAGUUUAUUUUAUUAGAAUUAUAAUUUACUUAUUUCUUAAUUUUGAUUUAUUUC
rnacentral:rRNA from 1 species